UUAAUUUGGCUUUGGUUAUUAUAUAAAUUAUUACUAAAUAUAUACAUGCUAGGUUUAGUUUAAUCGAAUUGUCUGGAGAUAUGUUAAAAAUGUUUAAAAUAUUUUUAAUACAAGUGUUAUUGUUAGUGGUUAACUAAAAUAAUAAGAGUAGGCUACGCAGUAUUUAUAAUUAUACAAUGAAUGAAAGUUUGAUAUAGUUAUUGUGUUAAAAAGUGGUUAAAUUGGUGCCAGCAUCUGCGGUUAUACCAAUUACUUUAAAUUUAUAUUAAGAUAGUAUAAAAAAAGUAUUGAAUGAAUAAAUAUUUAGAAUUGAUGAGAGACAUAGUUGUAGGUAAAAUUUAAUUAUUUCUAUUGAUUAAAUUUUUCUAGAUAAAUUCUUUGAAAAUAAGGUAUGAAAAACUAGGAUUAGAGACCCUAUUAUUCUUUAUUUUAAAAUUUUUUAGUUACUUAGGUAGUACGAAUAUGGUUAAUAUAUUAAACCUUUUAUGUUUGUUUAAAACUUAAAAGGCUUGGCGGUGUUAUAUAUCCUUCCAGGGGAGCUUGCUUGUUAAUUUGAUAAUCCUCAAUUUAUACUUACUUUUUCUUGAAUGUAAACAGUUUGUGUAUUGCUGUCGUCAGUUUAUUUCGUAAGAAUUUGGAAAAAAACUUGACAACGUAAGGGUUACCAUGUCAAGUCAAAAUGCAGCUAAUGAGAAAGGCUUAAGUGAGCUACAGUUUGUAAUUUCUAUAGCGAAUUAAACCAUGUAACUGGUUUAUAAAGAUGGACUUGGUAGUAAUAAAAAUUAAUUAAAUAGUGAGUUUUUAUGAAUUAGGUUUUAUAACGUGUACAUAUCGCCCGUCGCUCUUGUUGGGAAAUAAGAUAAGUCGUAACAUAGUAGGAGUAGUGGAAGCUGCCCCUGGAAUAAUAU
rnacentral:ncRNA from 1 species